rnacentral:lncRNA from 1 species
AUGGAUGAGCUAAACGAAGUGCAAGAGGAAGAGGGACAGACACAGGGGAGACCUUACAGAGCACAGUGCACUGCAAUGAUUGCCUGUCCAGCAGCUGGCGGAGAAGGGGUGCCAGGAGGUCCUUCUCCUCAGAUGGGCUUGCUUCACAUCGUCCUUGGCCCUUUAAGGAAUACUCUGUGCAUGAGGCAUGCCAGAUGCAAUAUGUUGGAAUGUGGAAAUCUUCCUCCUAAGUACUGUUCUGAGACCAGAACCUGCACCCUUGCCUCACUGAUACUGCUGCAGAAGUGCUAGCUGUUGCUGAGAUGAAGGAGAUGGAAGAGAUGACCAGAAACGAUGACAGAAAGGUCUCUCAGAGCUAACAGGAUAAUCAUUUGCUGAGCACAGUAAAGGGAUUUAGGCUCUUGAGAGGGAAAAAAGUCACCAAACACUCUAAAAAAUAAGAGCAGAUACAGG